AUGGACCAAUCCAUCCCUUUUUCCCGUGCAUAUGCAUCGGACUCGGAUGACGAUGGCCCCGAUGAAGAAGUUGAUGAGGAGGGGUUCACGCCGAAGGAGGCCCAAGCAUUCAAGAAGGUAUUCGGGCGGGAUCACAAGACACCAUUGUUCAAGGAUCUUUGUCUCGCGGAUGAAGCCGUUGUGGAUGGUGGCAAAUGCAUAUCUCUUGGAGCUAGGCCAAGUUCUCAC
rnacentral:rRNA from 1 species